AUACGUAGGUGACAAGCGUUAUCCGGAUUUACUGGGCGUAAAGGGCGUGUUGCGGUCUUGCAAGUCAGAAGUGAAAUUCCUGAGCUCAACUCGGGCGCUGCUUCUGAAACUGCAGGACUUGAGUGCUGGAGGGGAUAGCGGAAUUCCUAGUGGAGCGGUAACAUGCGCAGAUAUUAGGAAGAACACCGGUGGCGAAGGCGGCUAUCUGGACAGUAACUGACGGUGAGGCGCGAAAGCGUGGGUAGCAAACAGGAUUAGAUGCCCUGGUAGUCCACGCCGUAAACGAUGAAUACUAGGUGUAGGGGGUAUCGACUCCCUCUGUGCCGCAGUUAACACAAUAAGUAUUCCGCCUGGGGAGUACGGCCGCAAGGUUGAAACUCAAAUGAAUUGACGGGG
rnacentral:rRNA from 1 species